rnacentral:lncRNA from 7 species
GAUGGCUCCAAAUCACAAUGAUGGCCACAAAUCACAAUGACCCCAAAUCACAACGACCCCAAAUAGGGAUGACCUCAAAUAGAGAUGACCCCAAAUCUAUGUCCCCAAAUCACAAUGAGGACCCCAAAUCACAACGACCCCAAAUAGAGAUGACCCCAAAUCUAUGUCCCCAAAUCACAAUGAGGACCCCAAAUCACAACGACCCCAGAAGGGGAUGACCCCAAAUCAAUGUCCCCAAAUAGAGAUGACCCCAAAUCCCAAUGAUGGCCCCAAAGAGAGACGACCCCAAAUCCCACUGAUGACCCCAAAUCCCAACAACCCCAAAUGCGGAUGUCGCCACAUAGAGAUGUCCCCAAAUCACACUGAUGGCCCCAAAUCACAACGACCCCAAAUAGAGAUGACCCCAAAUCUAUGUCCCCAAAUCACAAUGAGGACCCCAAAUCACAACGACCCCAGAAGGGGAUGACCCCAAAUCAAUGUCCCCAAAUAGAGAUGACCCCAAAUCCCAAUGAUGGCCCCAAAGAAAGACGACCCCAAAUCCCACUGAUGACCCCGAAUCACAACGACCCGAAAAGGGGAUGACCCCAAAUCAAUGUCCCCAAAUAGAGAUGGCCCCAAAACCCAAUGAUGGCCCUAAAGAGAGACGACCCCAAAUCCCAAUGAUGGCCCCAAAGAGAGACGACCCCAA